rnacentral:rRNA from 1 species
CUACGGGCGGCUGCAGUGGGGAAUAUUGCACAAUGGGCGCAAGCCUGAUGCAGCCAUGCCGCGUGUAUGAAGAAGGCCUUCGGGUUGUAAAGUACUUUCAGCGGGGAGGAAGGGAGUAAAGUUUAUACCUUUGCUCAUUGACGUUACCCGCAGAAGAAGCACCGGCUAACUCCGUGCCAGCAGCCGCGGUAAUACGGAGGGUGCAAGCGUUAAUCGGAAUUACUGGGCGUAAAGCGCACGCAGGCGGUUUGUUAAGUCAGAUGUGAAAUCCCCGGGCUCAACCUGGGAACUGCAUCUGAUACUGGCGAGCUUGAGUCUGGUAGAGGGGGGUAGAAUUCCAGGUGUAGCGGUGAAAUGCGUAGAGAUCUGGAGGAAUACCGGUGGCGAAGGCGGCCCCCUGGACGAAGACUGACGCUCAGGUGCGAAAGCGUGGGGAGCAAACAGGAUUAGAUACCCUAGUAGUC